UAGAGUUUGAUCCUGGCUCAGAUUGAACGCUGGCGGCAUGCCUUACACACGCAAGUCGAACGGUAACAGGUCUUCGGACGCUGACGAGUGGCGAACGGGUGAGUAAUACAUCGGAACGUGCCCAGUCGUGGGGGAUAACUACUCGAAAGAGUAGCUAAUACCGCAUACGAUCUGAGGAUGAAAGCGGGGGACCUUCGGGCCUCGCGCGAUUGGAGCGGCCGAUGGCAGAUUAGGUAGUUGGUGGGAUAAAAGCUUACCAAGCCGACGAUCUGUAGCUGGUCUGAGAGGACGACCAGCCACACUGGGACUGAGACACGGCCCAGACUCCUACGGGAGGCAGCAGUGGGGAAUUUUGGACAAUGGGCGAAAGCCUGAUCCAGCAAUGCCGCGUGCAGGAUGAAGGCCUUCGGGUUGUAAACUGCUUUUGUACGGAACGAAAAAGCUCCUUCUAAUACAGGGGGCCCAUGACGGUACCGUAAGAAUAAGCACCGGCUAACUACGUGCCAGCAGCCGCGGUAAUACGUAGGGUGCGAGCGUUAAUCGGAAUUACUGGGCGUAAAGCGUGCGCAGGCGGUUAUGUAAGACAGAUGUGAAAUCCCCGGGCUCAACCUGGGAACUGCAUUUGUGACUGCAUGGCUAGAGUACGGUAGAGGGGGAUGGAAUUCCGCGUGUAGCAGUGAAAUGCGUAGAUAUGCGGAGGAACCCCGAUGGCGAAGGCAUCCCCUGGACCUGUACUGACGCUCAUGCACGAAGCGUGGGGAGCAAACAGGAUUAAAAUACCCUGGUAGUCCCCGCCCUAAACGAUUGUCACUGGUUUGGUGGGGAAUUAGUUUCUUCAUUACAGAGCUAAACGCGUGAGUUGACCGCCUGGGGGAGUUACGCCCCAGGUUGAAACUCAAGGAUUACGGGGACCCGCCAGCGGUGGAUGGANUGGGUUUAAUUCGUGCACGCGAACUG
rnacentral:rRNA from 1 species